rnacentral:rRNA from 1 species
GACGGAGGAGGCAAGCGUUAUCCGGAAUUAUUGGGCGUAAAGGGUACGUAGGCGGCUGGUCAAGUCUGGGAUUAAAGGCCACAGCUCAACUGUGGGAAGGCCCUGGAAACUGACCGGCUAGAGUGAGGUAGGGGUUGCGGGAAUUCCCGGUGUAGCGGUGAAAUGCGUAGAUAUCGGGAAGAACACCUGAGGCGAAAGCGCGCAACUGGGUCCUAACUGACGCUGAGGUACGAAAGCUAGGGGAGCGAAUGGG